rnacentral:rRNA from 1 species
GUGGGGAAUAUUGCGCAAUGGGGGAAACCCUGACGCAGCAACGCCGCGUGAUUGAAGAAGGCCUUCGGGUUGUAAAGAUCUUUAAUCGGGGACGAAAUUUUGACGGUACCCGAAGAAUAAGCUCCGGCUAACUACGUGCCAGCAGCCGCGGUAAUACGUAGGGAGCAAGCGUUAUCCGGAUUUACUGGGUGUAAAGGGCGCGCAGGCGGACCGGCAAGUCAGAAGUGAAAUCUGGGGGCUUAACCCCCAAACUGCUUUUGAAACUGUUGGUCUUGAGUGAUGGAGAGGCAGGCGGAAUUCCCAGUGUAGCGGUGAAAUGCGUAGAUAUUGGGAGGAACACCAGUGGCGAAGGCGGCCUGCUGGACAUUAACUGACGCUGAGGCGCGAAAGCGUGGGGAGCAAACAGGAUUAGAUACCCGUGUAGUCC